rnacentral:snoRNA from 1 species
AUGUAUGCUCCCCUGCUAUGCUAUGAGUUUAUAAUUUAUAAUUAAAAUAAACAAACAAAAAGCAGGACCUCACAAGUUUCGAU